GUUGGUUAGAGCGCCNCGGUAGAGCAGCUGACUUGUAAUCAGCAGGUUGUAGGUUCGAUUCCUAUCACCAGCUCCA
rnacentral:tRNA from 1 species